rnacentral:rRNA from 1 species
AAAAACAUGUCCUUUUGUUGAAAUUUAUAUAAGGUCUAACCUGCCCAAUGAUAAAAAUUUAAUGGCCGCGGUAUUUUGACCGUGCAAAGGUAGCAUAAUCAUUAGUUUUUUAAUUGAAAGCUGGAAUGAAGGGUUGAAUGAGAAAAUAACUGUCUUUAUUAUAAUUUAUUAAAAUUUUAUUUUUAAGUUAAAAAGCUUAAAUUAUAUUUAUAGACGAGAAGACCCUUUAGAGUUUUAUAAAAAUUUAAAUUUAAAAUCUUUUAGAAUUAAUAUUUUUUUUAAUUUUUUUUUAUUUAAUUGGGGUGAUUAAAAAAUUUAAUAAACUUUUUUUUUAUUAUUACAUUUAUUUAUGAGUGCUUGAUCCAUUAGUUAUGAUUAUAAGGUGAAAUUACCUAAGGGAUAACAGCGUUAUUUUUUUUAAGAGUUCUAAUCGAAAAAAAAGAUUGCGACCUCGAUGUUGGAUUAAAAUUAAAUUAUGGUGUAGAGGCU